rnacentral:rRNA from 1 species
UACGUAGGGUGCAAGCGUUAAUCGGAAUUACUGGGCGUAAAGCGUACGCAGGCGGCUAUGCAAGACAGAUGUGAAAUCCCCGGGCUCAACCUGGGAACUGCAUUUGUGACUGCAUGGCUAGAGUACGGUAGAGGGGGAUGGAAUUCCGCGUGUAGCAGUGAAAUGCGUAGAUAUGCGGAGGAACACCGAUGGCGAAGGCAAUCCCCUGGACCUGUACUGACGCUCAUGCACGAAAGCGUGGGAGCAAACAGG